UGGCUCAGAGGUUAAAGUAUCUGCCUGGAAUGCAGGAGACCCGGGUUCGAUCCCUGG
rnacentral:tRNA from 1 species